UUACAGCAAUCAGCAGAAGUUUUGUGCCCCCGCGAUGCCCCCGCGUGCGUCGUCAUAGCGAAAUUCGGUAGUUCGAAAACGUAAUUAUCUUUACAGUAUGGCGUAUAAAUAUUCAAAUGUCGAGUAUACGGAAAUGGUGCGAAUGGUUGCUAGGUGUGAUGACAAUGUUUUGGAAGCCCAGCGCCAAUACGCCAUACGAUUCCCAAAAAUCCCUACACCUAGCCGAGUUACAAUGCAAGCCGCCACACAGCGGUUACGAGAAUGCGGGCAAUUCCGGCAUGCCCUCAAUGAAAGUGGUCGUCCACCGAGGCACACGGACAAACCGUCGCCUCGUCAGAAUAAAAUAAAACCGGCACAUAGAUUAAGGCCGCGGACGAAAAAGCCAGAUUACGUGCAGGCUGAAGAUACUGAAGAUACAUGCAAAGCCGCUACUCAACAUGAUGUGCAGAUGACGACGAAGGUUGAACAAGCGAAUGAACAGCGGUUACUUGAAAUUGAGCCACCGAAGACGAGGGACAGAGCAAGAAAAGAAAAGGGAGCGGGAAUGGAAAAAGAAGAAAUGCUACUCAAUUAUGUCCAACCAGAGGAGAUAAAACCGCAGGUUUGUCCAAAGUGCCACUCGGUGCUUUCCGACCCCUUCCUAGCAACACAGACUAGUCAUAAGCAAGUGAGAUCAAUAAUAGCGAAGGUAUACCACUUCUUGGAGCGCGAGUACGAACAGUUGAAGAGCUUGCACCCGGAGACGGACUGGUCUCCGCUGAGCAGGGUCAGGCAGCGCGCGGCCGUCGCCACCGGCGUCUCGGAGCCCGACGUGCGAGACAUACUUAGCGAGGAGGCUGACACUCGCGCUGCUGGCGAAGACCCGCCCAGGAAACGACCUAGAACUGACCACCAGAGUGAAUAUGACGACGUAAAUGAGGCCGAACAGAUAGAAGAAGCAUUACAUGAACCGGAUGUGUACGUUGCUACGAAACCCGCCUUAGAACCUAACCCUCUUGAGGACAGCGAAGAAGAACAAAUAUUUAUUAAGGAAGAACCAGAUGAUGUUAAUAUAACUUGUUAUACCGUUAUGGAAGCAGUGUCUGUGCCUCAAGAAAUGGAAGAUCAGAUCGACAUUCAAGAUAUCAAAUCAACAAGUAGAGGACGCGCUAGAGGACGGGGCCGCGGAUCCAAUACGAGGCUAUCUUCAAAGCGUGAGGCUUGCCCUUUAGUGAAGUUGGAAGUUGCCGUAGGGAAGCCUAUUGCAGAAAGCGAGCCAGGACCUGAGCUCGAACCUCGGCCUCCUGAGGUGGACUGCGAAAACAUGGAUGCUAUCACCCCGGGGGAAAGAGUCAAAGCGAAGAUGCAACCUAGCACUGAGCACACAACGUCAACUUUGUAAACAGCUCGGCUGUCGAGGCGUGCCGCGAUGACAUAGUGCGACGAGACAAACAGACAACUAUAUCUCAACCAGCACCACAUGUGCACACUCAUGGGCAAUACGAGCAC
rnacentral:misc_RNA from 1 species